rnacentral:rRNA from 1 species
AGGGUUUGAUUAUGGCUCAGGAUGAACGCUGGCGGCGUGCCUAACACAUGCAAGUCGAGCGAGAAAUGUAUUUAUGAAACUUCGGUAGAUUAGAUACAUGGAAAGCGGCGGACGGGUGAGUAACGCGUAGGCAACCUGCCCCUUGCAGAGGGAUAGCCAUUGGAAACGAUGAUUAAAACCUCAUAACGCUGCAUUGUCACAUGAUGGAGCAGCCAAAGAUUUAUCGGCAAGGGAUGGGCCUGCGUCUGAUUAGCUAGUUGGUGGGGUAACGGCCUACCAAGGCGACGAUCAGUAGCCGACCUGAGAGGGUGAUCGGCCACAUUGGAACUGAGACACGGUCCAA